rnacentral:rRNA from 1 species
UAAUACCUGCAGCUCAAGUGGUAGUCAUUAUUAUUGGGCCUAAAACGUCCGUAGCCGGUUUCGUAAAUGCUUGGGUAAAUCGUUUGGCUUAACCAAACGAAUUCCGGGUAGACUACGAGACUUGAGACCGGAAGAGGCUAGAGGUACUCCUGGGGUAGAGGUGAAAUUCUGUAAUCCUGGGGGGACCACCAGUGGCGAAGGCGUCUAGCUAGGACGGGUCUGACGGUGAGGGACGAAGCCCUGGGGCGCAAACGGGAUUAGAUACCCCGGUAGUCCAGGGUGUAAACGCUGCUCGCUUGAUGUUAGAUGGGCUCCGAGCCCAACUAGCGUCGGAGAGAAGUUGUUAAGCGAGCUGCCUGGGGAGUACGGUCGCAAGGCUG